AUUUACCAGAACCUAAUGACCCAUAUGCAGACAUAGAGUCGUACGUAACUGGGGAAACUGACAUUAUAUUAUUAGACCCAGUGCUGGUAAACCCAUGCUCAUAUAAAUCAUUAGAAGUAGUACUUGAUAACAUAAUUGACAAUGCAAAUAAGAAGUGGGUAUUAGUUGGAUGCGACGGCCUGCCAUACAGCCUAUGUUCGAAAAUUAUUAACAAUUACUAUGUAUGUCCUCAUUGUGAAGAAAACUACCAAAAAAGGAACCUAUUUGAAAAUCACGUUAUGAAAGAAAAUUUAAACCUUGAUAUCAAAGAAUGCCAAAAAUACAAAAAUAUUUUACUGAUACCUGGAUUUGGGCACAUAGAUAUAAAUGUAACGAAAGCACUUUUUAAAUUGAUGUGGAAAGUUUGCAUUAAAGAUUUAGCCGUGAUUUUGGGAUGGAAGAGUCUUAAAGCUUUAACAGCAUGUGAAAACUGUACUGACCAUCACAAGGCUACCCAAAUUCUUCAAAUACUUUUCGAAAGCCUUAAAAUGGAAUUAUUAAAACCAUUUGUUGCCGAAUGUGAAGAAAAACAUGAACAUCCUACUAUUGAACAAUUAUAUGAAUAUGUGGGAAAACAAAGUAAAAAUUACAUUUUUCAUUUCAAAUGUACAUUUACAUACCUGUUCGCGUGGAAAAUGUUGAAGAAAGGAAUGCGUAGAGCAAAUUAUAACUAUAUCAAAAUGAGUAUGGACAAACUGUCAACUUUGUUUUAUGGCUUAAAUAUGACAACCUAUAUGGAUUUGUGGUUCAGGUUUGAUAAUACCGUGCUGCAAGCCCCACCAGAGGUACAAGAUUUCAUUAAAAAAAACAUAUGUAUGUCACAGUCGGGACAUCCGAGUAAAGCCGAAGGAGGGGAUUUUAUUCUUGAACGUACCAAUAAGAAAAUUAAGUCAUACAUGCCCCAUGGAGUUCCGACUGAUGAGAGAUGGACAAGAGUGUGCAGAAGUAUUGACAACAUUGAAGAGAUCAAACGUGCAUUCAUUUCAAAAGAUCAGCAUACAGAUGGGGAUGAUAGAACGACGAAUAAGUAUUUCAGGAAGUUCAGUGCACCUGAUGCUGUAGAAGAUUAUUCCAAUAAGAUUAGAAUGUAUUUAACUGGCGGAGGACAGCACACAUCUACAGACGACAAACCACUGGAUCAUGAUCUUGUUAACUUCGAUGUUAAAUGCGAAGCAAACAAAAGUAAAUACUAUGAGAACUUUCCAGAUGUACUGAGGAUUUGUGAAAGAAUAUUCAUUACACCGGAUGACAGAAGUAAUCAUUUCGACAUUACCCAAAAAGACAAAGAAACUAUCCAGAAGAUGAUAAUCAAUGUGUUGAAGGACAUACAUGAUGCUGGAGGUAUAGAAGAAUCAACAGUUUUAACUCAGCAGUGGUCAAAGGACGUCAAAAAUGGAAAGAAAAAUAUAUUGCUGACAUUUUACAGAGAAGUCGUGCAGUAUUUGCAAGACAUCACAAACAGAAAUGCUACCCUAGAAAAUGAAGCGGAACAGGAGGAAUCCGACUAACCUCUGUAAUGACAACAUCGGCGUUUGAUUGGUCUGACACCAGCCCUUCUUCAUAUGAGUCAAAGUAUUCAUCCCUUAUCUCCAGUCUGGUACUGUCUCCUGUCAUGGUAGCAUACUCAAGUGCCUGAAAUGGAAUAUUGAAAAUAUUCAACUACUUGUUUUGAAAUUAUCAACAUCGGAUAUUGAGGCACUUGAAGAAUAAAGACGCAAGCGGCUUUAAAGAUACAGACUUAAGAAAAUAUUAUUUUUGUUUAUCAUGAACAGAGCAUUUGAAUGUGCACACAGACCUUGACUCCGCAGAAAGAAAUACUCAAACUGUCCGACGAGCGACCCGAACUCUCCGACAAUAGCCGGAACUGUCCAUCGAGGAACACGAACCGUCCGACAAGAAGCGGAUUCCUGGAUCACACACGAAGAAAAUGUUAGUUGAUGGAACUCGAGAGAAUGCAGGACUGUCUUGCUGUUACCCUGACGAUGCCGGCCACCAGAGAUGUGGUGUUACCCAAACGGUGGCAGUUGCCAGAAGCGUUGUUGUACACAACUGAUGCCUGUCGCCAGAUGUGCGCUGGUACUCGGUCGGUGCCGGUCAUCAGAGGUGUGCUGGGACUCUGUCAUACCGGCACUUUAUUAACAUGACGAUCACCUUUUUUCAAAGAUAGUCAUCCAGUUUGCAUGCAAAAGUCCUUCUUUCUAGUAGACGACACCAAUCACUUCUAGCAGAAGAAAUCAGCUGCUUCUAGCAGACGACACCAUUUGCUUCCAGCAAACGACAACAGUUACUUCUGGCAGACGACACCAUUUGCUUCUAGCAGACGACAACGGUUGCUUCUGGCAGACGGUGCAAAAGUGCUUAUAGCAUUCGACACCAGUUGAUUCUACCAGACGACUCAAGGGGAGGAGCGUUACGGCGAUGGACAAGAUACAAUGGUUUUCGAGGAAUUCAAGCCUUGACUGAUCUGGCGUCUAUAUUUGUCCCGUCGUGUUGUUUGUAGUAGACAGCUUUUUCAUCCUUGAAGUCCAGGCUGACAGACAAAGUCUUCGUUAUGGUAAAUAAAAACAUAACUUCAUAUUAUGCCCUGCUCUGCUAGUUUGGAUUUUAUUUGACAUGAAUUACUGUUUAACUUGAUUGACAGCCUCACACACAUUGUCGAACUUUGUUAUGAUUGAGAGUAUUACACUCUAUGCCUGAAGUCGCUGUUCCGAAUUCCGGUGAGAAAAGAAUUAAACGUGGUACUAGUAUUUGAUGAGAUGCGAGUACUACGAUUUUAAUAACUCCUGUCUAUCAACCAAAUGUCUAAGUAAAUUAAUUAGGAUUUUUAAAAAAAUG